AACGAACGCUGGCGGCGCGCCUAAUACAUGCAAGUCGAGCGAGAAGACGUAGCAAUACGUUUGUAAAGCGGCGAACGGGUGAGGAAUACAUGGGUAACCUACCCUCGAGUGGGGAAUAACUAGCCGAAAGGUUAGCUAAUACCGCGUACGCUCCUUGGACUUCGGUUCAGGGAGGAAAGCGAUACCGUGGGUAUCGCGCUCUUGGAUGGGCUCAUGUCCUAUCAGCUUGUUGGGAGGUAACGGCUCACCAAGGCUUCGACGGGUAGCUGGUCUGAGAGGACGAUCAGCCACACUGGCACUGCGACACGGGCCAGACUCCUACGGGAGGCAGCAGUAAGGAAUAUUGCGCAAUGGGCGAAAGCCUGACGCAGCGACGCCGCGG
rnacentral:rRNA from 1 species